rnacentral:rRNA from 1 species
UACAGAGGGGGCAAGCGUUAUUCGGAAUUAUUGGGCGUAAAGCGCGCGCAGGCGGUCAUUUAAGUCUGGUGUUUAAUCCCGGGGCUCAACCCCGGAUCGCACUGGAAACUGGGUGACUUGAGUGCAGAAGAGGAGAGUGGAAUUCCACGUGUAGCGGUGAAAUGCGUAGAUAUGUGGAGGAACACCAGUGGCGAAGGCGACUCUCUGGGCUGUAACUGACGCUGAGGCGCGAAAGCGUGGGGAGCAAACAGG